rnacentral:rRNA from 1 species
UUGAAGAGUUUGAUCAUGGCUCAGAUUGAACGCUGGCGGCAGGCCUAACACAUGCAAGUCGAGCGGUAGCACAGAGAGCUUGCUCUCGGGUGACGAGCGGCGGACGGGUGAGUAAUGUCUGGGAAACUGCCUGAUGGAGGGGGAUAACUACUGGAAACGGUAGCUAAUACCGCAUAACGUCGCAAGACCAAAGAGGGGGACCUUCGGGCCUCUUGCCAUCAGAUGUGCCCAGAUGGGAUUAGCUAGUAGGUGGGGUAAUGGCUCACCUAGGCGACGAUCCCUAGCUGGUCUGAGAGGAUGACCAGCCACACUGGAACUGAGACACGGUCCAGACUCCUACGGGAGGCAGCAGUGGGGAAUAUUGCACAAUGGGCGCAAGCCUGAUGCAGCCAUGCCGCGUGUAUGAAGAAGGCCUUCGGGUUGUAAAGUACUUUCAGCGAGGAGGAAGGCGUUAAGGUUAAUAACCUUAGCGAUUGACGUUACUCGCAGAAGAAGCACCGGCUAACUCCGUGCCAGCAGCCGCGGUAAUACGGAGGGUGCAAGCGUUAAUCGGAAUUACUGGGCGUAAAGCGCACGCAGGCGGUCUGUCAAGUCGGAUGUGAAAUCCCCGGGCUCAACCUGGGAACUGCAUUCGAAACUGGCAGGCUAGAGUCUUGUAGAGGGGGGUAGAAUUCCAGGUGUAGCGGUGAAAUGCGUAGAGAUCUGGAGGAAUACCGGUGGCGAAGGCGGCCCCCUGGACAAAGACUGACGCUCAGGUGCGAAAGCGUGGGGAGCAAACAGGAUUAGAUACCCUGGUAGUCCACGCCGUAAACGAUGUCGACUUGGAGGUUGUUCCCUUGAGGAGUGGCUUCCGGAGCUAACGCGUUAAGUCGACCGCCUGGGGAGUACGGCCGCAAGGUUAAAACUCAAAUGAAUUGACGGGGGCCCGCACAAGCGGUGGAGCAUGUGGUUUAAUUCGAUGCAACGCGAAGAACCUUACCUACUCUUGACAUCCACGGAAUUUAGCAGAGAUGCUUUAGUGCCUUCGGGAACCGUGAGACAGGUGCUGCAUGGCUGUCGUCAGCUCGUGUUGUGAAAUGUUGGGUUAAGUCCCGCAACGAGCGCAACCCUUAUCCUUUGUUGCCAGCGGUUCGGCCGGGAACUCAAAGGAGACUGCCAGUGAUAAACUGGAGGAAGGUGGGGAUGACGUCAAGUCAUCAUGGCCCUUACGAGUAGGGCUACACACGUGCUACAAUGGCGUAUACAAAGAGAAGCGACCUCGCGAGAGCAAGCGGACCUCAUAAAGUACGUCGUAGUCCGGAUUGGAGUCUGCAACUCGACUCCAUGAAGUCGGAAUCGCUAGUAAUCGUAGAUCAGAAUGCUACGGUGAAUACGUUCCCGGGCCUUGUACACACCGCCCGUCACACCAUGGGAGUGGGUUGCAAAAGAAGUAGGUAGCUUAACCUUCGGGAGGGCGCUUACCACUUUGUGAUUCAUGACUGGGGUGAAGUCGUAACAAGGUAACCGUAGGGGAACCUGCGGUUGGAUCACCUCCUU